GAGUUUGACUCCGUGGCUCAGGACGACGCUGGCGGCGUGCUUAACACAUGCAAGUCGAACGGAAAGGCCCUGCUUGCAGGGUACUCGAGUGGCGAACGGGUGAGUAACACGUGGGUGAUCUGCCCUGCACUUCGGGAUAAGCCUGGGAAACUGGGUCUAAUACCGGAUAGGAGCCAGUUUUUAGUGUGAUGGUUGGAAAGGUUUUUUCGGUGUAGGAUGAGCUCGCGGCCUAUCAGCUUGUUGGUCGGGGUAAUGGCCUACCAAGGCGGCGACGGGUAGCCGGCCUGAGAGGGUGGACGGCCACAUUGGGACUGAGAUACGGCCCAGACUCCUACGGGAGGCAGCAGUGGGGAAUAUUGCACAAUGGGCGCAAGCCUGAUGCAGCGACGCCGCGUGGGGGGAUGACGGCCUUCGGGUUGUAAACUCCUUUUCGCUAGGGACGAAGCUUUUUGUGACGGUACCUAGAUAAGAAGCACCGGCUAACUACGUG
rnacentral:rRNA from 1 species